rnacentral:rRNA from 1 species
GACGAACGCUGGCGGCGUGCCUAAUACAUGCAAGUCGUGCGGACUUUGCGGGAGCUUGCUUCCAAGAAGUUAGCGGCGGACGGGUGAGUAACACGUGGGCAACCUGCCUGACAGACUGGGAUAACAUUCGGAAACGAAUGCUAAUACCGGAUAGGCAGCGAAGAGGCAUCUCUUUGCUGGGAAAGGCGCUACGGCGGCACUGUCAGAUGGGCCCGGCGCGCAUUAGCUAGUUGGUGAGGUAACGGCUCACCAAGGCGACGAUGCGUAGCCGACCUGAGAGGGUGACCGGCCACACUGGGACUGAGACACGGCCCAGACUCCUACGGGAGGCAGCAGUAGGGAAUCUUCCACAAUGGGCGAAAGCCUGAUGGAGCAACGCCGCGUGAGUGAUGAAGGCCUUCGGGUUGUAAAACUCUGUCUUCUGGGACGAACGGCCAAGAGAGGGAAUGCUCUUGGAUUGACGGUACCAGAGGAGGAAGCCACGGCUAACUACGUGCCAGCAGCCGCCGCGG